rfam:Nematostella vectensis strain CH2 x CH6 NEMVEscaffold_3216_Cont44524, whole genome shotgun sequence.
GUUGCGGUGGCCGAGUGGUUAAGGCGUUGGACUCGAAAUCCCAUGGGAUCUUCCCGCGCAGGUUCGAAUCCUGCCCGCAACG